UUUACAAGGGGGGGUUGAUGCUGGCAGUUUAACUGCAUGUGCUCACUCUUCUGAUUUUUAUUUACACCUGUGCACUUGAUUUUUUCAAAGGGGAGGGUAGAGCCUGCCUUUGGAACUUAUAAAACCCMCUUGUAUUGAAACAAUGAAUGUUUAUCUGCCACAAGGCGAAUUUUAAUACAACUUUUAACAACGGAUCUCUUGGCUCUCGCAUCGAUGAAGAACGCAGCGAAAUGCGAUAAGUAAUGUGAAUUGCAGAAUUCAGUGAAUCAUCGAAUCUUUGAACGCAUCUUGCGCUCUCUGGUAUUCCGGGGAGCACAUCUGUUCGAGUGUCAUUGAAACUCUCAAAUAAAGGUGGAUUUUUAACUAUCCAUCUCUGUUUGGAUUUGGACUUUGCUGCAUUAAUGUGGCUAGUCUUAAAUGUAUUAGCUUGGUCCUCAUUGAGGUUUUGGUUCUACUCGGCAUGAUAAUUAUCUAAUGUUGAGGACAGUCUUAGGACUGGCCAUGGCUCUCUCUGGAUUGCUUCUAAAUUGUCUUGAGGACAACUGCUUAAUUUCUGACCUCGAAUCAGGUGGGACUACCCGCUGAACUUAAGCAUAUC
rnacentral:rRNA from 1 species